GACGAACGCUGGCGGCGUGCUUAACACAUGCAAGUCGAACGGAAAGGCCCUGCUUUUGUGGGGUGCUCGAGUGGCGAACGGGUGAGUAAUACGUGAGUAACCUGCCCUUGACUUUGGGAUAACUUCAGGAAACUGGGGCUAAUACCGGAUAGGAGCUCCUGCUGCAUGGUGGGGGUUGGAAAGGUUCGGCGGUUGGGGAUGGACUCGCGGCUUAUCAGCUUGUUGGUGGGGUAGUGGCUUACCAAGGCUUUGACGGGUAGCCGGCCUGAGAGGGUGACCGGCCACAUUGGGACUGAGAUACGGCCCAGACUCCUACGGGAGGCAGCAGUGGGGAAUAUUGCACAAUGGGCGGAAGCCUGAUGCAGCAACGCCGCGUGCGGGAUGACGGCCUUCGGGUUGUAAACCGCUUUCGCCUGUGACGAAGCGUGAGUGACGGUAAUGGGUAAAGAAGCACCGGCUAACUACGUG
rnacentral:rRNA from 1 species